rnacentral:rRNA from 1 species
GACGAACGCUGGCGGCGUGCCUAAUACAUGCAAGUUGAGCGCUGAAGGUUGGUACUUGUACCAACUGGAUGAGCAGCGAACGGGUGAGUAACGCGUGGGGAAUCUGCCUUUGAGCGGGGGACAACAUUUGGAAACGAAUGCUAAUACUGCAUAAAAACUUUAAACACAAGUUUUAAGUUUGAAAGAUGCAAUUGCAUCACUCAAAGAUGAUCCCGCGUUGUAUUAGCUAGUUGGUGAGGUAAAGGCUCACCAAGGCGAUGAUACAUAGCCGACCUGAGAGGGUGAUCGGCCACAUUGGGACUGAGACACGGCCCAAACUCCUACGGGAGGCAGCAGUAGGAAAUCUUCGGCAAUGGACGAAAGUCUGACCGAGCAACGCCGCGUGAGUGAAGAAGGUUUUCGGAUCGUAAAACUCUGUUGGUAGAGAAGAACGUUGGUGAGAGUGGAAAGCUCAUCAAGUGACGGUAACUACCCAGAAAGGGACGGCUAACUACGUG